CAGUUAAUCCAGGGAGGUGGGAGUGAGCGCAGGUGGAGAUAAAACAAGACUGGCUCUGACUUGAUCAUUGUUGAAGCUGGGUGAUGGGUACAUGGAGUCCACAAAACUCUUGUUUUAUUUUGUAAAUGUUUACAAUUUUCCAUAAUAAAAAAGUUUUUAAAAAAACCACAGAGGCACAUAAAAAAUUACCACUCAUGAUAAGUGCCAUGAAGGAAAAG